UCCGUUUCAGAAAGCAGGUUUAGUGAAAACUCUAAGUUUGUUAACUCUGAGAUGAGGGGAACUCUGGGUUUUCGGUUUCAGAAAGGGAGGUAACUUAACCUCAGAGUCAGUUACUAUGGUAACUGAUUCUGUGAACCUAACCUGGUCGGAAAGCAGGUUUUCUUCUCAUUCUCCUCCCUUUGACACAGCAAUCUUUCAUUUCCUCAUUCAUUCAAUCAGUCUGUAUUAGGCGCAUUUUAGUGCAGUUUGUUAUCUGCAUG